rnacentral:rRNA from 1 species
AGAGUUUGAUCCUGGCUCAGGAUGAACGCUAGCGGCAAGCUUAAUACAUGCAAGUCGAGGGGUAGCAUGAAGUAGCAAUACUUUGAUGGCGACCGGCAAACGGGUGCGGAACACGUACACAACCUUCCUUUUAGUGGGGAAUAGCCCAGAGAAAUUUGGAUUAAUACCCCGUAACAUAACGAUGUGGCAUCACAUUGUUAUUAUAGCUUCGGCGCUAGAUGAUGGGUGUGCGUAUGAUUAGAUAGUUGGCGAGGUAACGGCUCACCAAGUCUACGAUCAUUAGCUGAUGUGAGAGCAUGAUCAGCCACACGGGCACUGAGACACGGGCCCGACUCCUACGGGAGGCAGCAGUAAGGAAUAUUGGUCAAUGGACGCAAGUCUGAACCAGCUAUGCCGCGUGAAGGAUUAAGGUCCUCUGGAUUGUAAACUUCUUUUAUCUGGGACGAAAAAAGGUCUUUCUAGGAUCACUUGACGGUACCAGAUGAAUAAGCACC